rnacentral:rRNA from 1 species
UACGGAGGGUGCAAGCGUUGUUCGGAAUCACUGGGCGUAAAGGGCGUGUAGGCGGCCUGUUAAGUCUGAUGUGAAAUCCCCUCGCUCAACGAGGGAACUGCGUCAGAAACUGGCAGGCUUGAGUACCGGAGAGGAAGGUGGAAUUCCCGGUGUAGCGGUGAAAUGCGUAGAUAUCGGGAAGAACACCCGUGGCGAAGGCGGCUCUCUGGGACGGUACUGACGCUGAGACGCGAAAGCGUGGGGAGCGAACAGG